rnacentral:rRNA from 1 species
GACGAACGCUGGCGGCGUGCUUAACACAUGCAAGUCGAACGGAAAGGCCCUGCUUUUGUGGGGUGCUCGAGUGGCGAACGGGUGAGUAACACGUGAGUAACCUGCCCUUGACUUUGGGAUAACUUCAGGAAACUGGGGCUAAUACCGGAUAGGAGCUCCUGCUGCAUGGUGGGGGUUGGAAAGUUUCGGCGGUUGGGGAUGGACUCGCGGCUUAUCAGCUUGUUGGUGGGGUAGUGGCUUACCAAGGCUUUGACGGGUAGCCGGCCUGAGAGGGUGACCGGCCACAUUGGGACUGAGAUACGGCCCAGACUCCUACGGGAGGCGGCAGUGGGGAAUAUUGCACAAUGGGCGGAAGCCUAAUGCAGCAACGCCGCGUGCGGGAUGACGGCCUUCGGGUUGUAAACCGCUUCCGCCUGUGACGAAGCGUGAGUGACGGUAAUGGGUAAAGAAGCACCGGCUAACUACGUG